GAUGAACGCUGGCGGCGUGCCUAAUACAUGCAAGUCGAGCGAACAGAUGAGGAGCUUGCUCCUCUGACGUUAGCGGCGGACGGGUGAGUAACACGUGGAUAACCUACCUAUAAGACUGGGAUAACUUCGGGAAACCGGAGCUAAUACCGGAUAAUAUAUUGAACCGCAUGGUUCAAUAGUGAAAGACGGUUUUGCUGUCACUUAUAGAUGGAUCCGCGCCGCAUUAGCUAGUUGGUAAGGUAACGGCUUACCAAGGCAACGAUGCGUAGCCGACCUGAGAGGGUGAUCGGCCACACUGGAACUGAGACACGGUCCAGACUCCUACGGGAGGCAGCAGUAGGGAAUCUUCCGCAAUGGGCGAAAGCCUGACGGAGCAACGCCGCGUGAGUGAUGAAGGUCUUCGGAUCGUAAAACUCUGUUAUUGGGGAAGAAAAAAUGUGUAAGUAACUAUGCACGUCUUGACGGUACCUAAUCAGAAAGCCACGGCUAACUACGUG
rnacentral:rRNA from 1 species